GAUGAACGCUAGCUACAGGCUUAACACAUGCAAGUCGAGGGGUAACGAGAGGAAAGCUUGCUUUCCUUGUCGACGACCGGCGCACGGGUGAGUAACGCGUAUCCAACCUGCCCCCAACUAGGGAAUAACCUUGCGAAAGUAAGACUAAUACCCUAUAAUUUCCUCAGAUGUCAUCUGACGAGGAAUAAAUAUUUAUCGGUUGUGGAUGGGGAUGCGUCUGAUUAGCUUGUUGGCGGGGUAACGGCCCACCAAGGCAACGAUCAGUAAGGGUUCUGAGAGGAAGGUCCCCCACAUUGGAACUGAGACACGGUCCAAACUCCUACGGGAGGCAGCAGUGAGGAAUAUUGGUCAAUGGGCGGAAGCCUGAACCAGCCAAGUAGCGUGCAGGAUGACGGCCCUAUGGGUUGUAAACUGCUUUUAUACAGGAAUAAAGUUAGCCACGUGUGGUUAUUUGUAGGUACUGUAUGAAUAAGGACCGGCUAAUUCCGUGCCAGCAGCCGCCGUAA
rnacentral:rRNA from 1 species